CCUACGGGAGGCAGCAGUGGGGAAUCUUGCGCAAUGGGCGAAAGCCUGACGCAGCGACGCCGCGUGCGGGAAGAAGGCCUUCGGGUUGUAAACCGCUUUCAGGAGGGACGAAGCCACUCGGGUUAAUAGCCUAGAGGGUGACGGUACCUCCAGAAGAAGCCCCGGCUAACUACGUGCCAGCAGCCGCGGUAAUACGUAGGGGGCUAGCGUUGUCCGGAUUUAUUGGGCGUAAAGAGCGCGUAGGCGGCUAGGUAAGUCCGACGUGAAAUCUGGAGGCUCAACUUCCAGCGGUCGUUGGAAACUACUUGGCUAGAGUCCGGAAGAGGAGAGUGGAAUUCCUGGUGUAGCGGUGAAAUGCGCAGAUAUCAGGAAGAACACCGAUGGCGAAAGCAGCUCUCUGGGACGGUACUGACGCUGAGGCACGAAAGCGUGGGGAGCGAACAGGAUUAGAUACCCUGGUAGUCCACGCCGUAAACGAUGGGUGCUAGGUGUGAGCGGUGUCGACUCCGCUCGUGCCGAAGCUAACGCAUUAAGCACCCCGCCUGGGGAGUACGGCCGCAAGGCUAAAACUCAAAGGAAUUGACGG
rnacentral:rRNA from 1 species